rnacentral:lncRNA from 1 species
AUUCAAUGAUUCAACCCGAUAUUUUGAACGCCACAAGAUGAUUAGUCUUGAUAAGUUGUCCCAUUCAAUUUAAUGAACAAGAUAAAUUUGAAGCAAAGCUUCGAGAUGAAUUUUAUUAAUUCAACAUAUGAAAAGUCUUGUACAAUAAUGAAUUAAAGUUCCUAUUUAUACUAGAAAUAUAAAACCUAAUUUUAAAGGGAUUUAAAUACUGGGAAAUAGUUUAAAAAUGUGCUAAAUCUCCUAAAAUAUGGAAAUUACCAAAGAGAAUAGAAUCCUAGAUAAAAUAGAAGAUCUUGCGAAUAUGGAAAAAUUCUGUCUCAAAAAACCGUGGUGCGAUCGCAUGGGCAAAACUGGUGCGGUCGCAUGGUUCUGCCGGAUGCUGCUCCAUUAGGCUCGAACCCCUUCUGUGCGGGCGCAUGGCUAGGAAGGUUGCACAACUUCAUGUUUUGCCUCCGUUUUUUUCAGUUGUUCAACCAAGUUGUUCCAAAUUUUUUUGGCUCCUGAUCCCAACUUCAAUCUUGAACUUUGGCUCGUUGACUUCAUCAAUUUCUCAAAAUUUCUACCCCCCUUGGAUCACAUCAGAUUAUCUACUAUACAAAUAUUUUGACAAGGGAAACUUCAGACUCCUUGCUACCUGUCAACCAUUUGAAAACACCACAUAGCAUAUUAAUGAAAAGCAAAUGAACAGGGUGCUUAUAACAACUACCUACAAGAAAAUUACCUUUAAAGCCAUGUCCUAGGAGACUGUUGAUUUGUAACGAAUUGCUCCUUCCAAUGGGCAGCUACCUCCUUUGUUGAUGAAAUUAGCACUACUAGACUAGAUAAUUGCAGGAAAACAUCAGACGUUAGUCCACUAUCCCAACCAUUGGCUCCUAGUCCAUCAAUUUGUGGCACUUCAUCGCCAGGUGAAUAUUCUGCAACAGAAGAGAUACACUGAAAUAUUGCUAACAACCUUUAUAAUGGGAAAGUUCAUGGCCCUUUCAUGAGUAAUUCUUGUUCUUUACUUUCCUUCUUCUCCAUCGAUUUUUCAGAGCUCCUGAGUAGCAUAACCAAUAGAAAAUAUAAUCAAAUUACUUUCGUACUUUUUGAUGCAUAUUAGCUCCCGUUUGACCCCCAUUUUGUGAAAAUGAAAAUAGGUGGAAUAAUUUUUUAUUUAUUUAUUUUUUAUUUUUAAAAUGAGUGGUUGAAGAAGAAUGAAAACUCUUUGAUUUACUUGUAACCUGUGAUGCUCGGACUCUUCAUUUUGGCCAGAGUAGACACGGGUACAGGUAUGGAAUACGUGUCAGAUUCUUCCAAUUUCAAUCGGACUCGGCAAGAAAUCCUAAGAAAAAUUGAAGAUUUACCUUAUUGGCUGGAGAUGAAAGAUGUGUGUAAAGAAAUAGUAGGUUAGCGUCGACAAUCUUUGGUCCAAAAUAAAUCUACUGGCUGUCUUCUGAUGGAACCCUAAAAUCAUGAAGGAGAAGAAGGAAGAGUGGAAGACGGGGACUCGUUUGGGAGACAAGGAUGAAAGAAGAGACUUGGGUUUAAUUGGAGUUGGGCUAUAUUUAUUGGGGCUAAUAACAUGGAGGUGGAUUGGGUUAAUAAUAUGGACGUGGAUGGAUUUAAGAGGUGGAUUGGUGAAAGUAAUUCUAUUUUUACACUUCAGUUCGUUUUUCUCCAAAAAUACUGCAAAUUGGUCUAGUAUAUUUGGAAUUUGGGAAAUAUCUUUAUUUACAUAUAUAAAAUGUAUGGGCCUAAUUUAUGUGCAAGAAAUCCACUCCAUUUUACGCCCCAGUACCCUACCCGCCCCAAUUAACGUACCCUUCUAGAUCUUUGGUCAUCUUCCUAGUACAGAAUGCAAGAAAAUCCAAAAAAAUCAAAACCUUUGUUUUCUUCCCCAAAUCGCAACCACGAAAUCGUUAAAUCAGCUCUAGAAUUUUGCUUUUUCAUAUCUCAAGAUCUGCAUCCACCAUAUAAUCCGUCCAAAAUCAUUGUUUGCCCUAUCACUCCCACGAACAAAAAUUCGCUAUAUAAACCACAAUACCGAACCUGUAAUUACACCAUUCCAACUCCAUUAUCAAUUAGUUCUUCCAUUCACAAACCCUUCUAUAUACUCUUGAUUCGGAAGAUGACAUCACCAAUUUCCCAAUUGUCUUUGGGUACUCACAAGAAGAAGAAUAUUGCAUUUGAUUCUUCAUUUGCAGUUGCUACUUCUCAUCGGUUGUGUAUGGGAUCUGAAAAUAUUCAGGGCCAAGUUGCUUUCACCAAUUCUUUUUGUCCAGUUAUAUUUUUAUGUUGUCAUAUGCAAUGUUUUUGUUCCCUGAGUUAUGUGUUUGUGUUUCAAUGUGUAUCUACACAAUGUCUGUUUCUGUAAGUAUAUAUACCAUCAAUGUAGUCAAUGCAUGCCAUUUAAA